UACGUAGGGUGCAAGCGUUGUCCGGAAUUAUUGGGCGUAAAGAGCUCGUAGGCGGUUCGUCGCGUCGGCUGUGAAAUCCCGAGGCUCAACCUCGGGUCUGCAGUCGAUACGGGCGGACUGGAGUACUGCAGGGGAGACUGGAAUUCCUGGUGUAGCGGUGAAAUGCGCAGAUAUCAGGAGGAACACCGGUGGCGAAGGCGGGUCUCUGGGCCAGUACUGACGCUGAGGAGCGAAAGCGUGGGGAGCAAACAGG
rnacentral:rRNA from 1 species